rnacentral:rRNA from 1 species
UUUUAUGAGAGUUUGAUCCUGGCUCAGGACGAACGCUGGCGGCGUGCCUAAUACAUGCAAGUCGUACGCUUCUUUUUCCACCGGAGCUUGCUCCACCGGAAAACACAGAGGGG